UACGUAGGGGGCAAGCGUUGUCCGGAAUCAUUGGGCGUAAAGAGCGUGUAGGCGGCUGGGUAGGUCCGUUGUGAAAACUCGAGGCUCAACCUCGAGACGCCGAUGGAAACCCCCCAGCUAGAGUCCGGAAGAGGAGAGUGGAAUUCCUGGUGUAGCGGUGAAAUGCGCAGAUAUCAGGAAGAACACCCCGUGGCUAAGGCGGCUCUCUAGUACGGUACUGACGCUGAGACGCGAAAGCGUGGGGAGCGAACAGG
rnacentral:rRNA from 1 species